rnacentral:rRNA from 1 species
ACUGCUCAGUAACACGUGGACAACCUACCCUAUGGAGGGGGAUAACCCCGGGAAACUGGGGAUAAUACCCCAUAGACUAUAGAUGCUGGAAUGCUUUGUAGUCGAAAGGUCCGCCGCCAUAGGAUGGGUCUGCGGCCGAUUAGGUUGUUGUUGGGGUAACGGCCCAACAAGCCUGUAAUCGGUACGGGUUGUGGGAGCAAGAGCCCGGAGAUGGAUUCUGAGACACGAAUCCAGGCCCUACGGGGCGCAGCAGGCGCGAAAACUUUACAAUGCGGGAAACCGUGAUAGGGGAACUCUGAGUGCCCGUAAAAUCGGGCUGUCCACCUGUUUAAAUAACAGGUGAAGAAAGGGCCGGGCAAGACCGGUGCCAGCCGCCGUGGUAAUACCGGCGGCUCGAGUGGUGGCCACUAUUACUGGGCUUAAAGCGUUCGUAGCUGGUUUGUUAAGUCUCUGGGGAAAUCUUCCGGCUCAACCGGAAGGCGUCUCAGGGAUACUGGCAGACUUGGGACCGGGAGAGGUGAGAGGUACCCCAGGGGUAGGAGUGAAAUCCUGUAAUCCUUGGGGGACCACCUGUGGUGAAGGCGUCUCACCAGAACGGCUCCGACAGUGAGGGACGAAAGCUGGGGGAGCAAACCGGAUUAGAUACCCGGGUAGUCCCAGCUGUAAACGAUGCACGUUAGGUGUAUCGGUGACCACGAGUCACCGAGGUGCCGAAGAGAAAUCGUGAAACGUGCCGCCUGGGAAGUACGGUCGCAAGGCUGAGACUUAAAGGAAUUGGCGGGGGAGCAC